CUUCCGUAAGGGNAACCUGCGGAAGGAUCAUUACUGUGAUUUACUACUACACUGCGUGAGCGGAACGAAAACAACAACACCUAAAAUGUGGAAUAUAGCAUAUAGUCGACAAGAGAAAUUUACGAAAAAACAAACAAAACUUUCAACAACGGAUCUCUUGGUUCUCGCAUCGAUGAAGAGCGCAGCGAAAUGCGAUACCUAGUGUGAAUUGCAGCCAUCGUGAAUCAUCGAGUUCUUGAACGCACAUUGCGCCCCUCGGCAUUCCGGGGGGCAUGCCUGUUUGAGCGUCGUUUCCAUCUUGCGCGUGCGCAGAGUUGGGGGAGCGGAGCGGACGACGUGUAAAGAGCGUCGGAGCUGCGACUCGCCUGAAAGGGAGCGAAGCUGGCCGAGCGAACUAGACUUUUUUUCAGGGACGCUUGGCGGCCGAGAGCGAGUGUUGCGAGACAACAAAAAGCUCGACCUCAAAUCAGGUAGGAAUACCCGCUGAACUUAAGCAUAUCAAUAAGCGGAGGAA
rnacentral:rRNA from 1 species